rnacentral:rRNA from 1 species
CAGUCGCCGCGGUAAUACGAAGGGUGCAAGUGUUACUCGGAAUUACUGGGCGUAAAGCGUGCGUAGGUGGUGGUUUAAGUCCGUUGUGAAAGCCCUGGGCUCAACCUGGGAAUUGCAGUGGAUACUGGGUCACUAGAGUGUGGUAGAGGAUAGUGGAAUUUCCGGUGUAGCAGUGAAAUGCGUAGAGAUCGGAAGGAACAUCUGUGGCGAAGGCGACUAUCUGGGCCAACACUGACACUGAGGCACGAAAGCGUGGGGAGCAAACAGGAUUAGAUACCCCCGUAGUCCCUGUCUCUUAUAA